rnacentral:rRNA from 1 species
GACGGACGCUGGCGGCGUGCUUAACACAUGCAAGUCGAACGGAAAGGCCCUGCUUUUGUGGGGUGCUCGAGUGGCGAACGGGUGAGUAACACGUGAGUAACCUGCCCUUGACUUUGGGAUAACUUCAGGAAACUGGGGCUAAUACCGGAUAGGAGCUCCUGCUGCAUGGUGGGGGUUGGAAAGUUUCGGCGGUUGGGGAUGGACUCGCGGCUUAUCAGCUUGUUGGUGGGGUAGUGGCUUACCAAGGCUUUGACGGGUAGCCGGCCUGAGAGGGUGACCGGCCACAUUGGGACUGAGAUACGGCCCAGACUCCUACGGGAGGCAGCAGUGGGGAAUAUUGCACAAUGGGCGGAAGCCUGAUGCAGCAACGCCGCGUGCGGGAUGACGGCCUUCGGGUUGCAAACCGCUUUCGCCUGUGACGAAGCGUGAGUGACGGUAAUGGGUAAAGAAGCACCGGCUAACUACGUG